UGGCAGCCAAGGCCUGAGACAGAUAC
rnacentral:piRNA from 1 species